AGGGCGCACGGUGGAUGCCUUGGUACUAGGAGCCGAAGAAGGACGGAACUAACACCGAUAUGCUUUGGGGAGCUGUAAGUAAGCUAAGAUCCAAAGAUUUCCGAAUGGGGGAACCCAGCACCUUUCAUAGGGUGUUACCAAUGAGUGAAUACAUAGCUCAUUAGGAGGUACACGCAGGGAACUGAAACAUCUCAUUACCUGCAGGAAGAGAAAGAAAAAUCGAUUCCCUGAGUAGCGGCGAGCGAAACGGGAGGAGCCCAAACCAACGAGCUUGCUUGUUGGGGUUGUAGGACUAGAACGUGAGAAGACAUCAAGAUAGCAGAAGUGGUCUGGAAAGGCCCAUCACAGAAGGUGACAAUCCUGUACGCGACAUCUUGACGAACUCUACUAGCAUCCUGAGUACGGCGGGACACGAGGAAUCCCGUCGGAAUCCGCCAGGACCAUCUGGCAAGGCUAAAUACUACCUAGUGACCGAUAGUGAACCAGUACCGUGAGGGAAAGGUGAAAAGAACCCCGGGAGGGGAGUGAAAGAGUACCUGAAACCGUGUGCUUACAAGUAGUCAGAGCCCGUUAAUGGGUGAUGGCGUGCCUUUUGUAGAAUGAACCGGCGAGUUACGUUUACAUGCGAGGUUAAGAUGAAGAGUCGGAGCCGUAGCGAAAGCGAGUCUGAAUAGGGCGCAUGAAGUAUGUGGACGUAGACCCGAAACCAAGUGAUCUACCCAUGUCCAGGUUGAAGGUGCGGUAAAACGCACUGGAGGACCGAACCAGGGCACGUUGAAAAGUGCUUGGAUGACUUGUGGGUAGCGGAGAAAUUCCAAACGAACUUGGAGAUAGCUGGUUCUCUCCGAAAUAGCUUUAGGGCUAGCGUCGACAUUAGAGAUUCUUGGAGGUAGAGCACUGUUUGGGUGAGGGGUCCAUCCCGGAUUACCAAUCUCAGAUAAACUCCGAAUGCCAAAGAAUUAUGGUCGGCAGUCAGACUGCGAGUGCUAAGAUCCGUAGUCGAAAGGGAAACAGCCCAGACCACCAGCUAAGGUCCCAAAAUAAUUGUUAAGUGGAAAAGGAUGUGGGGUUGCACAGACAACUAGGAUGUUAGCUUAGAAGCAGCUAUUCAUUCAAAGAGUGCGUAAUAGCUCACUAGUCGAGUGACCCUGCGCCGAAAAUGUACCGGGGCUAAAACAAUUUACCGAAGCUGUGGAUACCUUUUAUAGGUAUGGUAGGAGAGCGUUCUAUGUGUGGAGAAGGUGUACCGUGAGGAGCGCUGGAACGCAUAGAAGUGAGAAUGCCGGUAUGAGUAGCGAAAGACAGGUGAGAAUCCUGUCCACCGUAAGACUAAGGUUUCCAGGGGAAGGCUCGUCCGCCCUGGGUUAGUCGGGACCUAAGGAGAGACCGAAAGGUGUAUCCGAUGGACAACAGGUUGAUAUUCCUGUACUAGAGUAUGUAGUGAUGGAGGGACGCAGUAGGCUAACUAAAGCAGACGAAUGGAAGUGUCUGUCUAAGCAGUGAGGUGUGAUAUGAGUCAAAUGCUUAUAUCUAUAACAUUGAGCUGUGAUGGGGAGCGAAGUUUAGUAGCGAAGUUAGUGACGUCACACUGCCAAGAAAAGCUUCUAGCGUUUAAACAUACUCUACCCGUACCGCAAACCGACACAGGUAGUCGAGGCGAGUAGCCUCAGGUGAGCGAGAGAACUCUCGUUAAGGAACUCGGCAAAAUGACCCCGUAACUUCGGGAGAAGGGGUGCUGGUAGCAAUACCAGCCGCAGUGAAUAGGCCCAGGCGACUGUUUAUCAAAAACACAGGUCUCUGCAAAAUCGAAAGAUGACGUAUAGGGGCUGACGCCUGCCCGGUGCUGGAAGGUUAAGAGGAGAGGUUAGCGCAAGCGAAGCUUUGAAUUGAAGCCCCAGUAAACGGCGGCCGUAACUAUAACGGUCCUAAGGUAGCGAAAUUCCUUGUCGGGUAAGUUCCGACCCGCACGAAAGGCGUAACGAUUUGGGCACUGUCUCAACGAUGGACUCGGUGAAAUCAUAGUACCUGUGAAGAUGCAGGUUACCCGCGACAGGACGGAAAGACCCCAUGGAGCUUUACUGUAGUUUGAUAUUGAGUGUUUGUGUCACAUGUACAGGAUAGGUAGGAGCUGAAGAAUCCGGGACGCCAGUUUCGGAGGAGGCAACGGUGGGAUACUACCCUUGUGACAUGACCACUCUAACCCGCACCCCUGACCGGGGUGGGAGACAGUGUCAGACGGGCAGUUUGACUGGGGCGGUCGCCUCCUAAAAUGUAACGGAGGCGCCCAAAGGUUCCCUCAGAAUGGUUGGAAAUCAUUCGAAGAGUGUAAAGGCAGAAGGGAGCUUGACUGCGAGACCAACAAGUCGAGCAGGGACGAAAGUCGGGCUUAGUGAUCCGGUGGUACCGUAUGGAAGGGCCAUCGCUCAACGGAUAAAAGCUACCCUGG
rnacentral:rRNA from 1 species